rnacentral:tRNA from 1 species
UUGUGGAGCUAAGGAGAAUUGAACUCCUGACCUCCUGCAUGCCAUGCAGGCGCUCUACCAACUGAGCUAUAGCCCC